UACGAAGGGGGCUAGCGUUGUUCGGAAUUACUGGGCGUAAAGCGCGCGCAGGCGGUCUUCCAAGUCAGUGGUGAAAGCCCGGAGCUCAACUCCGGAACUGCCAUUGAAACUGUUGGACUUGAUGAUGAGAGAGGUGAGUGGAAUUCCCAGUGUAGAGGUGAAAUUCGUAGAUAUUGGGAAGAACACCGGUGGCGAAGGCGGCUCACUGGCUCAUUACUGACGCUCAGGCGCGACAGCGUGGGGAUCAAACAGG
rnacentral:rRNA from 1 species